UCUAUGUCCAGUUCAGGGAGGAAGAGCAGGCAGUGGCUGCUCACAACGCCCUCCAAGGCCGCUUCUACUCUGGUCGCCCGAUCAUCGUGGAGUACUCCCCUGUCACGGACUUCCGUGAGGCUACCUGCAGGCAGUUUGAGGAGAACAGCUGCAACCGUGGUGGCUACUGCAACUUCAUGCACGUGAAGCAGAUUGGUAGGGAGCUCAGGAGGAAGCUAUAUGGUGGGCGUUCCAGGAGGAGCCACGGGAGGAGCCGCAGCCCGAGCCCACAGCACAGGAGGGACAACCGUGACCGUGGUGGCGACUUCCGCCGUGAUGGCCGGGAUGAAUACCGUGGUGGCGGUGGCGGUUACCGUGGAGGCGAUGGAGGUGAUGGUGGCGGUUACCGUGGAGGUGGUGGUGGUGGCUACCGUGGAGGUGAUGGGGGUGGCUAUCGUGGUGGUGGUGGUGGCGGUUACCGUGGUGGCGGCAGGGGUGGAGGUGGUGGCAGGCAUGACAGGUAUGAUGAUGGACCAAGGCGCAGGUAUGGUGGCAGCCCGCCACGACGUGGAAGGAGCCCUCCAGCCAGG
rnacentral:lncRNA from 1 species